UCUUGAGCUCCAAUACUACCAAGUGUUGCCUGAUCUCUGGGCGGAGACCCGACUGGAAUCUCCUGGCCUUUCGGCCCUCAUCCAUCAAUGUCUCCGGGGAGUAUCGGCCCAGCUCGAGGAACUUACAAGCAUACUCUGAUACUGUCAUGUUUCCCUGAACUAGUUGAACAAACUCCAUUUCCUUUAGGUGUCGGAUGUGCUCAGGGAGAUACUCCGCAUGGAAGGCCGUUAGGAACUGCUCCCAAGUGACUGGUGUUGGCAGGGUGGCCUGCUUGAGCUCCCACCAACGUCCUGCUUUCCCCACCAGCAUGAAGGAAGCAAGGGUAGCUCUCUGCUCAGGGACUACUCCCAAGAUCCUGAAAGCUCUCUCAGUCUCCG
rnacentral:lncRNA from 1 species